AGUAUACUUGCCUUGUUUCUUUCUAAUCGGCCCUAGUCGCGAAUCUUUUUUGCUUUCCAGUCCAUUUUCAACAUUGUUUGUCCCGUAGCUUUACCACAACUCAUUGAUACCUUAGCAGCUAUUUAAAAGUCUAACUAAAAGGUCCUAACAGAAAGAGUCUGACGUUGACGUUCCACAAUACAAUGCUUAAUCCGGAACACCGGCGAAUGAGGAAUUCCAAUGCGUCAGCCAUUUCGUCACCGUCGAUUUGCGCAAGUAUGUAGAAAGAUGAUCUUGCUGCUGUUGUCGUCGCCGUCGCCGUCGUCGCCGUCGUCGUCGUCGUUCGUCUAUGUUAACGCGGUUGAAUCCGAUGUUGUGUUGGAUGUAAUAUGCAUUUUCUAAUCUACUUAAAGCCGCACGUCGAGAAAACAGCGCUUGUAAUCGCCAUCCAGAAACCGUAACUCCAAGGCCCUCGUCUACAUGCUUAUUACGCACGCGGUUCAGAUAACAGUGGAUUAAAAUAAUUAAAAACUAUCCAUGAUGUGAACAUUUUGCAGACAUAAUCUGGCCAUGAUAGGACUAGUUGCAAAAACCGGGCGGACGAAUGGUAAACGCUAACGAAGAAACAGUGGUCAGAUCAGAACGAAGACCCUAUGCACAGAUUGGCUGUAGUCAAAGUAAAAUGCAGAAUAGUAAGUUAGAAUGAUUGUAUCGGGUUAUAUGGAUUAGAUGAGCUAUAUGGCAUCACAGGUUUAUCUUUGGCCAUAGAGAAUUUCUAAAUAGUGAUCGGUAGCAGUCCGAAUCGAAAGGACGAUCUUGCAGUUGAAAACACUUUCUAGUAAUGGUUACGAUGAAAGAUUCUAGGAUACCGUAUGAUGUACACUAGUGUGAAAAUCUAACAAAUAUAGCAGUGGAUCCUCCAA